rnacentral:rRNA from 1 species
GUAGUCUCGCACAGAUGCAUAUCAAUAAGCGGAGGAAAAGAAACUAACAAGGAUUCCCCUAGUAACGGCGAGUGAAGCGGGAAGAGCUCAAAUUUGAAAUCUUGAAGGGUUUCCCUUUACGAAUUGUAGUUUAAAGAAGUGUUUUCUGUUGAGGUUUUGGUAAAAGUUCUUUGGAAUUAGGACAUCAUAGAGGGUGAGAAUCCCGUAUUUGACCUUUACUUUCAACUUUGUGAUACACUUUCAAAGAGUCGGAUUGUUUGGGAAUGCAGUCCAAAAUGGGUGGUAAAUUUCAUCUAAAGCUAAAUAUUGGCGAGAGACCGAUAGCGAACAAGUACCGUGAGGGAAAGAUGAAAAGAACUUUGAAAAGAGAGUUAAACAGUACGUGAAAUUGUCAAAAGGGAAGCGUUUGACACCAGUGUUGUUUUUCUGAAAAUCAAUUAAAGAACUGUUUAUGCUAAGCUGUUUAGACUUUAUCAGCUAUCUGUUUAGUUUUGAGCUUUUCUUUAAUGCACUUUUCAGUUAACAAGUCAACAUCAAUUUCUUUUGCUGUAAAAAAGCUUGAGGAAGGUGGCUUGAGAUUCGUCUUAAGUGUUUAUAGCCUCUUGCCUAUGCAGUCGGAGAGAUUGAGGUCUGCAGCGUAGAUCCUUCGGGGCUAAAUAGCAUUUGUGCUAAGUUAUAGCAUUUUAUAGACAACUUGUUGACUAUGAUUUGUCUUGUAGCUUACUCGCUUAUGUUAUUUUACCUACGCUUAGGAUGUUGACGCAUGAGAUAUACGC